rnacentral:rRNA from 1 species
AGCGAACGCUGGCGGCAGGCCUAAUACAUGCAAGUCGAACGAUCCUUCGGGAUAGUGGCGGACGGUUGAGUAACACGUGUGAACGUGCCCUUUGGUUCGGAAUAACUCAGGGAAACUUGAGCUAAUACCGGAUGUGCCCUUCGGGGGAAAGAUUUAUCGCCAUUGGAGAGGCCCGCGUCUGAUUAGAUAGUUGGUAGGGUAAAGGCCUACCAAGGCUACGAUCAGUAGCUGGUCUGAGAGGAUGAUCAGCCACACUGGGACUGAGACACGGCCCAGACUCCUACGGGAGGCAGCAGUAGGGAAUCCUGCGCAAUGGGAGCAACCCUGACGCAGCCAUACCGCGUGUGCGAUGAAGGUCUUCGGAUUGUAAAGCACUUUCAGUAGGGACGACGAUGACGGUACCUACAAAAGAAGUCACGGCUAACUUCGUGCCAGCCGCCGCCGUAA